rnacentral:rRNA from 1 species
UACGUAGGGUGCAAGCGUUAAUCGGAAUUACUGGGCGUAAAGCGUGCGCAGGCGGUUGUGCAAGACAGAUGUGAAAUCCCCGGGCUUAACCUGGGAAUUGCAUUUGUGACUGCAUAGCUAGAGUACGGUAGAGGGGGAUGGAAUUCCGCGUGUAGCAGUGAAAUGCGUAGAUAUGCGGAGGAACACCGAUGGCGAAGGCAAUCCCCUGGACGACACCUGGACGCUGGAGGCACGAAAGCUGGGGGAGCGAAUGGG